ACAGGGGUGAAGGGAAGCAGCCGAGAUGCAGUCAGAGACAUUUCGAAGCUACGAGCUAGAAAUAGAGAUGAGAACAUAUCAGAAAACAUCCCUGAAUUCAGGGAAUGUCAUAUCUUGUUUGCUUUUUUAAAUGGCACCAUAUAACUCCUUUGUAUUGAUUCACCAGAUCUCUCUUUGUUCAUGGGGCAACCUUAUGCCCAAUCCGUGUAAAUUUUACAAUAAAAUUAACUAUCCCCAAAGCCUGAAGCAGUUAUUCUCCCGAGAAGGCCACAAUAGGAUCUGCAAUUGCUGUUUCAUAAGUGGAAUAACACAGCACAAUCUGCCUAGCUGAUUAGGGGCGACUCUGGUCCUGCACCUCAUGUGUCCUGAAGUCAGGGCUCAGCUUCUGACAAAAUCUCCCUCUGUCUCGUUUCAUUGUUCUUGUCUUGUUCCUUCACCUGUUCUUAAAAUGCCAUUCUCAAGUCCUAGUUUAGUUCGAUUGCCUUCUUCAAUUCUCUUCCUUCCCUCCCUGUCUUCUUUUAUGCACAAAAAUACCUAUUAAUCAUGUACUGGGGACCAGGCACUGUGCCAGUCUGGCAAUAUAAAAGGGAGUAAAACGAGAUGAGCUUCCUGUCUUAACCUCCUGAAAUCGACAGACUAGGAAAGAGAAGACAUUGGUUACAUAAUCACACAAGCAGAUGUUCAAGGCUACUGUUGGUGGUGCUGAAAUGUAGCAAUCUCUUGACAGUUUAGUGAGCUCAUGACCAGAGGAUCUGUCUUAUGCAAAGGUCAGAGAAGGCUUCCCUGAUAAAGGAAGGUCAUCCAAGGUAAAAUCUGUGGGAUGAGGAGGAGUUAGCUAAGAGGAGGGAGGAGGACCAGGUAUCUAGGUGGAGGGCAUAUCCCAUACAAGGAAUGAUUGUAACAAGAAGAGAAUAAAAGAAGGGUGAUGUGGUGAGAGAGGUUUGGAGAGCCAGUCCAGAUGUGCAAAGAGUAGCAAAAAAUUUCGGUCGCCAGGCAUAAACAUUUCCCACAGAGACUGAACUGGGGCAGUCUGUCUUCUUGUUUCAGCACUCAUAAGGUGUUACACCACAGUGAACUUUUAGUGCUGGCUUCCGUCUCAGCAUCUGCUUCCCAGAGAAAUCAAUGAGAAUGAUCUCUUAUCCUAUCAAGGAUCAUUUUACCUCCUUCUCACCAAAUGUUACACAUCAGUGAGCAGCACUGCCUAGGAGAUAACAGGAAGCCGGGUUUCACAGCAGCCAUCCUAACCAACUAAUUCUGUGAUGAUUGAGAGACUAAAUGAUAUUGGGAAGCCGAGGCGGGCGGAUUACGAGGUCAGGAGAUCGAGACCAUCCUGGCUAACACGGUGAAACCCCGUCUCUACUAAAAAUACAAAACAAUUAUCCGGGCGUGGUUGCCGGCGCCUGUAGUCCCAGCUACUCGGGAAGCUGAGGCAGGAGAAUGGCGUGAACCCGGGAGGUGGAGCUUGCAGUGAACCGAGAUCGCGCCACUGCACUCCAGCCUGAGUGACACAGCGAGACUCCGUCUCAAAAGAAAAAAUAAAAAUAAAAAAAAUAAAUUAUAAUGGGUUUAGGUAAGUUUUCUAAUGUAAAGCCUGAGUGCUUUAUAUAUUUCUUAUGUGCCUUCUAAGCACCUCUUGAGAUUACAAAUGG
rnacentral:lncRNA from 10 species